ensembl:rRNA 5S_rRNA 5S ribosomal RNA
AUCAAUGGCCAUACCUCCCUGAAUGUGCCCGAUCUUGUCUGAUCUUGGAAGCUAAGCAGUGUCAGGCCUGGUUAGUACUUGGAUGGGAGAACAAAAAGAUACACCUUGGCUAAAGGAA